UUGUGGGAGGGCCGCGCGGCCUUUCCUGGGUUCCGCGCGCCGCCGGGACGUGUGGUGGCCGCUCCUGGGGCGCCGCGCCGGGGACUGGGCGCGGGGAGGCGGCCGCGGGGCCCGGAGGCUCGGUCCCCACGCCGUGUCCCGCGUUCACGCUCGCCCUCCGCGGCGGGGUGCGAGUCGGAGCGGGACAGCCUUCGUGAAGAUUCUGGAAAUCGGGACUCACAAGAGUUGUGUGAAUCAGUCCUGCGGACUCUGAAGAGCACUAAGAUGCGUGCCUGUGGACAGCCGGUAAAUAGACAAGUUGCGAAUAAAAGUUGAUGUGCUUGCUAAAGCUUAGUGUUGUGAGUGGUUCGUUCCAGGAAAUGGCUUCCUCCUCCCGAAGAGCUCAAAGGGAGAGUCCGUGCCGCCGCCCCCCACCCACCCACCCCCAGAAAUUGUCAGCAAUUGAGAGUAAUUUUCAGUGGGGUAAAUCCUGGACAUGGACAGCCUUGAAAACUUGUGCAAGGCCUAAAGAAAAGGGAUUCCUGGGGCCACUGCCUGAGGCGCCGGCAUCCCAUAUGGGCGCCGGAUUCUGUCCCGGUUGCCCCUCUUCCAGGCCAGCUCUCUGCUGUGGCCCGGGAAGGCAGUGGAGGAUGGCCCAGGUGUUUGGGCCCUGCACCUGCAUGGGAGACUAGGAGGAGGCACCUGGCUUUGGAUCUGCGCAGCUCCAUCUGUAGUGGCCAUUUGGGGAGUGAACCAAGGGAAGGAAGAUCUGUCUGUCAGUAACUGUCAGAUAGAGAGGGUCCUUUUUAAAAAAGUGACUCACGUGCUAGCUAGAGCUAGAAAAGUUGAUGCCUGGGCCACUGUGCACCUACCAUUAGCCCAUGUUGUGCCUUUACUUGGCAGGAAAGAACAAAGUGCUUAGGCAUUCAAAGAAAUUUAUUGAAAACAUGACUAAGCUGGGAACACAACGGCAAAACACGACAUAGUUCUCUGGAAGCUUAACGCUUAGUGGAGGGAAUAAAGCCACAGAUGAGAAACAUCCUUGAAUGAGAUAAGGCCCGUGAUGGGACCCGACAGGGAGACCUGAGAGCAGGGCUGAGAUGCAUGGGAUCGGGUCUGCAAGGCAGCUGAGGGAGUGUGUGGGCUGAGUCCACUUUGUCAGUUUUGGCUGCUUUUCCUCUGCGUUCCCUGGGCUAGACUUGAGUGCUCAGUGAGGUUCAUGACCUGGUGUGGUGGCCAAAUGAAGCUGAAGAGGUAGGUCCAGGCCAGGCUGCUUAAGGCUUUAUUAAAGCAAGGAAUGAAAAUCUAGAAAGAUCAGAGCCAGCAGGCUAACUGGCCACUGCGGUCGGCUAAGCAACACAUGGCCAGCUUAGGCCAGGGGGUGGUGAAGUAAGAUUGAAACUAGAGCACAAAGCCAAGACCUGAAAGUGGCCCUUGGGCUACUAGGCAAUGUCCAGCUUGCACACUUGCAAGUACAGUGGCUCUGAAUUCCUGGGCCUGAGGUUUGAGAUUCCAGUAAUUAACAAAAAAAAAAAAGUGGAGCUGCAAAGCAUGCUCCCAAGAGCAGAAGCCAAAUGAGGUUCCAUCAGGCAGGCCACAGACGGCUGCAGGAAAGGCCUAACUGGAGAGAGCUAUAGACAAGGACUGCCAAGAAUGAGGGAAAUGGUAGUGGCUAGAGGGAUGUGUGGUUACAUUUAAAACCAUGUAGCAGUCCUGCUGAGAACAGGUAUGAACACAGAGAACAGACCAGUAGAGCCGGCUGGGGCUGGGAAGUCAGGGUUGCCGGCAGCUUUGGUGAGGGCGAUGGGUGUCCUACCUGAGCACUCUUUCUCACCUGUAGGCGGCAGAGUUAUCUGGACAGGAAACCUGCAAGUCUCUGCAGAGGGCAGGCAGGUAGAGAAACCAUUUGAAGCUGAGGGGCAGAGGUUAUCUGAAAUUCACACUUAGUUUUUUUUUUGAGAACACAAGGACACUUUAGAAAUUAAAAGCAAUACUUAAAAAAUUUUACAUAUUUGUAAAUAACCAGUGAACUCAAUGCCACAACAUACAGCAUUACAGAGAACUUAAUGUACGAAUACAAUGUCUGCAGUCCAUCCGAUGCCUCUGAUGGCAUCUGGCCUUCCUGCCACUGGGCGUCCUGCUGCCUGGCAAGCCGGGUGCAGCCCAGGGUUCCAGCACAGUCGAGCUUCUGGCCUGGCACAGAUGGCAGACGCCGGCGCUCAGUGGAGUGGGGGUUUUCCUGUUCGGGAAGGAGCGUGUGGCACCCAGGGGGUUUUUGAAGACUGCUUUCCUUCCAGUUAAGACACAAGUCCUUCAGCACAAGUCUGCUGCCCUUCACCCUAGAAGAGGAGAGGCGAGCGUCCUCCGGCUGCAGAAACCUUUGCAGGUCUGAGGUGUCCGGAUGAAGCCCAGUUUCACAGCUUCCAGCACCAGUGGCGCACACACCCUUCCCACGGGCCUGGCCCUCCACCAGCAUCAGCUCUCUGUCUUGAGGCGGGAAGCUUGGAUAGUCUUUAUUGUUUUUGCUGGGUGUUUUCCAGCCAGGUUGCUUGUAGACGUUUGAGAUUUUUCUUCAAUCAGGCUAUCUUUAGACCCAUUUCUUCGCUGAAAUGAGAAAAAGAUUCAGAAGAACAAAAUAGACAAGUGUAUUUUCAUAGUUAUGACAUCAAAUUAUAACCAUGCAAAGUUAAUUUCAAAAGAUUCAACAAAUACUCUCAUUAAUUGCAAAACAAGCAGUCUGACAGUCACAUGCAGGACACCCCGAAACUUCUGUUAUUGGGUCCUUGGUAUUUCCAGAGGUAGCAGCCCCAAGGAUGGCUGGCGACCUCCCAGCAACCCCAGCAGAUGAGGCUACUGGCUAUACUCGAAGAGGGCAGCCUCACAUGUGAUGGGCGGCACUGUCCCUCUUAAAGAAGCAAUCUUCUGUCUGUGCUAUGACCAGCAUAAUCUGUCCAGGUCAGCCUAGGCACACUGGGGAGGGAGGCAGGAGGAUCAGAGACGCAGUGGGAAAUGUGUGGGUUCCCUGAGCUGCCUUCUGCAUAACAGGGAAAGUGAGGUGCAGGCCCACCAGUGUCGUCACGUGGCUCCUGCCCCUGGCCACAGCACCUACUCACGGCAGCCAAACUGCUGCCUCCUUUUGGCACUUGGACUAAAAGUCCUGGCCUGUGGGUCCUGUGUCCUCUGCGCUGCCCAGCACCAGCUCUCCUGCCUCUGGGUUCUGAGCCACACAGCCAGCUACCCAGGCCUGGGUCUCAGCUUCCUGUGCUGCUUUCUGGGAGGGUCUCUGACUGCCCUGUGUGCCUGGAGUGAGCCCACUCUGCCCUUGCAGGCCAUGGAUCUUCAUCAGCUCAGCUGGUUUGAUUAUUCUGUUUCCUUUUAUAGACUACGUGUGUAGGCCAGGGUCAGCAAAAAUUUUUUGCAAAAGGCCAGAUUCUGGGCCACAUCCUGCCCGUCACAUAUUAAUGACAGUUUAAGUAACCAUUCUAAAAAACUGCUGUUGAGUCCAGCUGUUAGCUGAUGCAGACCCCGGGAGGCAGCAGGUGAUAUCUUCAGUGAUCGGGUCCCUGCCACCCACAUGAGAGAUCUGAGUUCAGGCCCUUGGUCAGCGCAGGCAUCCUGGGAGUAAACCAGUGGAUGGGGCGCUCUCCGCCUUUCAAAUUAAAAUAAUAAAGUGAAAACCACUACUUAGCUGCCAGACUGCACAGAAACAGGCAGCAGACAUGUGACCCAAAGGCCAGCCUGCCACCUCCUGAGACCAGAGCGCAUCUGUUCAUCUGGAAUCAGGCACGUCCCAGAGUUGAUGCCACUGAUGAAGACACCGCUCUGGGCUGUUCUGUGCAGCAGAGAGAGCUAGUCUCCCAGCACCGAGUGUGUCUCGUUUACCUGUCUAGACUCUGAGUGAUGCUGGAUCUAGAGUAGUGGGAAAAGCAAAUUUACCUGAAGUUUGUGUUGAGGCCAACUUAAAUGGAAGACUAACCUGAAAGUUAACAGGGCUUAUUAACCACCACAUUAAGCCUAAAGCAUGUAAGUUACAGGUAAAGAAUGGAGGCUCAGAAGGAACGCACUCCAGGCCACAGAAGUGUAACCUGGGAAUGAGGCGAGACGUACAGGUGCAGGUCUGAAUGCAAAGUCUAAGCGUCAGUCCUGGAAAUGCAUCUGAAGAGGUGCUAUCAGCACUGAGUAGACACCUGCUGUUUUCUCCAGGAUCCAGUCCUUCAUGUGCCGUGCAGGCUGGUCAGCUGCCUUGCCCACUGCUCAGAUGGGCACUUUGAGCUCAGGUGUCCCUUCCUUCCUCCAGUCUUUGGUCACGACUGUGCUCUUCCCAGCAACUGCUCUGGCUGGAGAGAGCCACCCCACCUCACCCAGAGUCAGCCGUCUCCCAGGAGUGCCCCUUUGCCAACAACAGCCACUUGGGAACCUACGCUACACUGAACCAGCACGCGCUCUUUUUAACGGCCCUUGCUCGAGUCACUGGGCAAGCAAAGGGCGUCAGAGCAGACACCGCCGGCCGGAUGCUCACCCAGGUGGCCAUGAGCUGCCCAAACUUGCCUACAGAACUGCCCGUGCUCAUACAUCUGUAUAGGCAGACACGGGAGCCGUGACUGAAUUUCCACAGGAUCCGCAGUCCAGACGAUGAAACCCCAGCACUGCACACAGUGGGCUGACCCUGUUCAGUCAAUGUGUCACCGGCAUUAUGGGAUGGCUGUUUAGGCAGGCGUGAAGCCACCUACCUGCUUCAUUCAACCCCCAUUUUUUCCAUCUUAACUAAAAAAUGCCCCAUGAGAGAUGACGUCAGACACCGGGCUGGACACGUGAGCUACAGCACUGCCUGGCCCUGUUCACUGGGCUCUAGGUUCAUUCUGUUCAGGCAGCAGUGCUGCUCUGCUGUGCCCCCGACGGCCCUCCUUAACCUCGUCUUUAAACCUUAGAAUCCUGGCUCUCCUGGCCUUGGCCUUGCCCGGGCUUUGGACCACUUUAGACCCCACCCCACGGCCAGCUCUGCUCUAGGGGGUGCCCUGGUUCUGGAUCCUACACGUCCUGGUAAAACAUUCUGGGAGGGAGCGAGUCACGAGCGCAGCUCUCCAGAGCUCAGAGGCCCCUCAGCCUGCAGCCUGUGGCCUCCCGGACGUCUCGGCACCCACCUGAUGAACCGUGGCGCCUCCAGCACCCUGAGCGUCCGAG